UACGUAGGGGGCAAGCGUUGUCCGGAUUUAUUGGGCGUAAAGAGCGUGUAGGCGGCUUGGUAGGUCUCGCGUCAAAACCUGAGGCUCAACCUCAGUUCGCGUGGGAAACCACCUAGCUAGAGUCCGGAAGAGGAGAACGGAAUUCCCAGUGUAGCGGUGAAAUGCGCAGAUAUUGGGAAGAACACCUGUGGCGAAGGCGGUUCUCUGGGACGGUACUGACGCUGAGACGCGAAAGCGUGGGGAGCGAACAGG
rnacentral:rRNA from 1 species